GUACUGCACUCGUAACAGACAGGAUGCUCACACAUGCCAAUGCUGUAGAUGUCAACAUUCUUAUAACACACCACGCAGGAUUCCUAAAACAGAAUACAACGAUGAAAAUGAUGCGCUCACG